rnacentral:guide_RNA from 1 species
AUACAUAACGGCACAAUAAAGAAGAACGUUCUAGAGAAUAUAAUAAGAAAU